rnacentral:tRNA from 7 species
GGGGGCGUAGCUCAGUCGGAUAGAGCGGCUGAUUGUCAAUCAGCAGGUCGCGGGUUCGAGUCCCGUCGCUCCCG